GACGAACGCUGGCGGCGUGCCUAAUACAUGCAAGUCGAGCGGAAUGAUGAAGAAGCUUGCUUCUUCUGAUUUUAGCGGCGGACGGGUGAGUAACACGUGGGCAACUACCUUGUAGAUUGGGAUAACUCCGGGAAACCGGGGCUAAUACCGAAUAAUCCAUUUUGCUUCAUGGCGAGAUGUUGAAAGACGGUUUCGGCUGUCACUACAAGAUGGGCCCGCGGCGCAUUAGCUAGUUGGUAGGGUAAUGGCCUACCAAGGCGACGAUGCGUAGCCGACCUGAGAGGGUGAUCGGCCACACUGGGACUGAGACACGGCCCAGACUCCUACGGGAGGCAGCAGUAGGGAAUCUUCCACAAUGGACGAAAGUCUGAUGGAGCAACGCCGCGUGAGUGAAGAAGGUUUUCGGAUCGUAAAACUCUGUUGUAAGGGAAGAACACGUACGAGAGUAACUGCUCGUACCUUGACGGUACCUUAUUAGAAAGCCACGGCUAACUACGUG
rnacentral:rRNA from 1 species